GACGAACCGUGCGAACGUUGUUCGGAAUCACUGGGCUUAAAGGGCGCGUAGGCGGGUUCGCAAGUCUGUGGUGAAAGCCUCCAGCUCAACUGGAGAAGUGCCGUGGAUACUGCGAGCCUCGAGGAGGGUAGGGGCAUCUGGAACAGUAGGUGGAGCGGUGAAAUGCGUUGAUAUCUACUGGAACUCCGGUGGCGAAGGCGAGGUGCUGGACCCUUUCUGACGCUGAUGCGCGAAAGCCAGGGGAGCGAACGGG
rnacentral:rRNA from 1 species